rnacentral:rRNA from 1 species
CCUACGGGGGGCUGCAGUGGGGAAUAUUGGACAAUGGGGGGAACCCUGAUCCAGCCAUGCCGCGUGUGUGAAGAAGGCCCUCGGGUUGUAAAGCACUUUCAGUGAGGAAGAACGCCUGGUGGUUAAUACCCAUCAGGAAAGACAUCACUCACAGAAGAAGCACCGGCUAACUCCGUGCCAGCAGCCGCGGUAAUACGGAGGGUGCGAGCGUUAAUCGGAAUUACUGGGCGUAAAGCGCGCGUAGGUGGCUUGAUAAGCCGGUUGUGAAAGCCCCGGGCUCAACCUGGGAACCGCAUCCGGAACUGUCAAGCUAGAGUGCAGGAGAGGAAGGUAGAAUUCCCGGUGUAGCGGUGAAAUGCGUAGAGAUCGGGAGGAAUACCAGUGGCGAAGGCGGCCUUCUGGACUGACACUGACACUGAGGUGCGAAAGCGUGGGUAGCAAACAGGAUUAGAUACCCCAGUAGUC